CAGUAGCCACGGGAAUACGUAGGUGGCAAGCGUUGUCCGGAAUUAUUGGGCGUAAAGCGCGCGCAGGUGGUUUAAUAAGUCUGAUGUGAAAGCCCACGGCUCAACCGUGGAGGGUCAUUGGAAACUGUUAAACUUGAGUGCAGGAGAGAAAAGUGGAAUUCCUAGUGUAGCGGUGAAAUGCGUAGAGAUUAGGAGGAACACCAGUGGCGAAGGCGGCUUUUUGGCCUGUAACUGACACUGAGGCGCGAAAGCGUGGGGAGCAAACAGGAUUAGAGACCCCCGUAGUCCCUGUCUCUUAUAC
rnacentral:rRNA from 1 species